rnacentral:rRNA from 1 species
AUUGAACGCUGGCGGCAGGCCUAACACAUGCAAGUCGAGCGGCAGCGGGAAAGUAGCUUGCUACUUUUGCCGGCGAGCGGCGGACGGGUGAGUAAUGCCUGGGAAAUUGCCCAGUCGAGGGGGAUAACAGUUGGAAACGACUGCUAAUACCGCAUACGCCCUACGGGGGAAAGCAGGGGACCUUCGGGCCUUGCGCGAUUGGAUAUGCCCAGGUGGGAUUAGCUAGUUGGUGAGGUAAUGGCUCACCAAGGCGACGAUCCCUAGCUGGUCUGAGAGGAGGAUCAGCCACACUGGAACUGAGACACGGUCCAGACUCCUACGGGAGGCAGCAGUGGGGAAUAUUGAACAAUGGGGGAAACCCUGAUGCAGCCAUGCCGCGUGUGUGAAGAAGGCCUUCGGGUUGUAAAGCACUUUCAGCGAGGAGGAAAGGUCAGUAGCUAAUAUCUGCUGGCUGUGACGUUACUCGCAGAAGAAGCACCGGCUAACUCCGUGCCAGCAGCCGCCGUAACAC